rnacentral:ncRNA from 1 species
ACAAAAGGGAAUGAAGUUCUCCCUUGGCGCAUACUGCCUGAACCGCUUGAAAAAGCUGAUGACUUCUGCAC